CCUACGGGGUGCAGCAGUGAGGAAUAUUGGUCAAUGGACGAGAGUCUGAACCAGCCAAGUAGCGUGAAGGAUGACUGCCCUAUGGGUUGUAAACUUCUUUUAUAUGGGAAUAAAAUGUUCCACGUGUGGGAUUUUGUAUGUACCAUAUGAAUAAGGAUCGGCUAACUCCGUGCCAGCAGCCGCGGUAAUACGGAGGAUCCGAGCGUUAUCCGGAUUUAUUGGGUUUAAAGGGAGCGUAGGUGGAUUGUUAAGUCAGUUGUGAAAGUUUGCGGCUCAACCGUAAAAUUGCAGUUGAAACUGGCAGUCUUGAGUACAGUAGAGGUGGGCGGAAUUCGUGGUGUAGCGGUGAAAUGCUUAGAUAUCACGAAGAACUCCGAUUGCGAAGGCAGUUCACUGGACUGCAACUGACACUGAGGCUCUAAAGUGUGGGUAUCAAACAGGAUUAGAUACCCCUGUAGUC
rnacentral:rRNA from 1 species